rnacentral:rRNA from 1 species
AUGCAAGUCGAGCGGAAAGGCCCUUCGGGGUACUCGAGCGGCGAACGGGUGAGUAACACGUGAGCAACCUGCCCCUGGCUCUGGGAUAGCCUCCGGAAACGGGGAUUAAUACCGGAUAUGACCUGGGACUUCAUGGUUCCGGGUGGAAAGUUUUUCGGCCAGGGUGGGGCUCGCGGCCUAUCAGCUUGUUGGGGGGGUGACGGCCCACCAAGGCGACGACGGGUAGCCGGCCUGAGAGGGCGACCGGCCACACUGGGACUGAGACACGGCCCAGACUCCUACGGGAGGCAGCAGUGGGGAAUAUUGCGCAAUGGGCGGAAGCCUGACGCAGCGACGCCGCGUGGGGGAUGAAGGCCUUCGGGUUGUAAACCUCUUUCAGCAGGGACGAAGCUAACGUGACGGUACCUGCAGAAGAAGCGCCGGCUAACUACGUGCCAGCAGCCGCGGUAAUACGUAGGGCGCAAGCGUUGUCCGGAUUUAUUGGGCGUAAAGAGCUCGUAGGCGGCCUGUCGCGUCUGCUGUGAAAUCCCGGGGCUUAACCCCGGGCGUG